AGAACGAACGCUGGCGGCAUGCCUAAUACAUGCAAGUCGAACGAACACUUCGGUGUUAGUGGCGCACGGGUGCGUAACGCGUGGGAAUCUGCCCUUGGGUUCGGAAUAACAGUUGGAAACGACUGCUAAUACCGGAUGAUAUCGAAAGAUCAAAGAUUUAUCGCCCAGGGAUGAGCCCGCGUAGGAUUAGCUAGUUGGUGAGGUAAAGGCUCACCAAGCGACGAUCCUUAGCUGUCUGAGAGAUGAUCAGCCACACUGGGACUGACGACACGGACCAGACUCCGACGGGAGACCAGCAGUAAGGGAAUAUUGGACAAGUGGGACGGCUAAGCCC
rnacentral:rRNA from 1 species